rnacentral:lncRNA from 1 species
UACUUUUUACAUGAGGAAUUCGGUGUUAAUUGUAUUAAAUAAGGUUUUUGUUUCUUGUUAAAUUGGAUGUAUCUUGUUGUAUGAGUGCUUGAACAAACUAUGAUUAAAUAGAUGCAUAGAUUCAAGGUGGGAAGAAUUGGCUAUUAUGCUUGAUACUAAUGCCGAAUAUGAGAAUGUUGUACUUGAAAAAUGUAGGUGAACAUUACAAGUGUAUUCGGCUUAGGGCAUAAAGGAUAUGAAAAUUUGGUAUUUAUUUUUGAUUGUGUGUGUAUGACCAUGGAUAAUUGGCUGCACAAAUAUUAUAAAUACAUAAUGUAUGUUAAAUUUAUUAAGCUACAAAACAUUAUACAUGAUCGGCCAAGGUAAAUUAUUUGAGUAAAGUAUAUCUUGAUGGUACAUUUCGGCUAGUAUAAAAUGUAUAUGGAUGUCGUAUGACUAUGUUUAAUUUGGGAAGUAAAUUGUGUGAUUUAGCUCAAGAGCCUAGAGGAUCAAAGUUGGAUAAGGGAAAGGAAAAAGUGAUCGAAUAGCCGUCGUAAUCGUUCGGCAUCUUCCGAGGUAAGUUUUAAGUGAAUAAACGUUGAGUAAAUUAAAUCAUAAUAGGACAUAAUGAGUUGAUUUAAUAAGAUAUGAUGUGGCCAUGAUAUGUCUUAAACUCAAAUGGUAAGUUCAUAAGUGUUUGGACUUGGAAAUUUAAGAGCAAAUUGUAAUAAUUUGCUUAGGACAGCAGCAGUAACGUGAUUUUAGAAAAUCACUAUAAAUUGUUGGUGUGAAAUUAUAGGGUGAAUAAAAUAUGUAUUCAAAGCUUAAUUAGUCUAGUUUCUUAUAAAAGAGACCGUGUAAACAAAGAAAUUUCCUAUAAAGAGAUAUUUGAAGUUGUGUGAGACAGUGUCAGAAUGACUCCGAAAUCCCCUGUUUUGUUUUUAGAAAAUCAUUAUAAUUUGUACAGAAAUGUUUAUAAGAUAAAAUUUAUAUGCUUAGACUCCUUAAUGAGUCUAGUUUCCAAUGAAAUCAAAUAGAACAUAUUUUGAAUUCUGUACAAUGAGAAAUUUGAUUCGUAGUGAAGAGUGGUCAGAUUAGUCAAACAGUGAAACAAAGGAAAGUUUAAGAAAAAUAUGGUAUUGAUUGGCCAAACCUAAAAUUCUCAAUAUUUUAUGGAUGGAAGAUAUAUGAGUCUAUAUUCAGGUAAAAUUAACGGCAAUUGAUGUUGAGUUUUGUAGCUCCAGUUAUAAAUAAUUUAGUGACUAUUGCUCAGGAAAACAGCUUGUAGUGAAUAUGUGAAUUUGUUGUAAACAUUGAUGAAACUAUUUGAGUUGCUUAUAAGCUAUUGCUGAAAUUGAUGUACAAGAUAAAUAUAUAUGAGAUAUGUAUAUGUGGUAAAGCCGAAUGGCUAAUGUGAAAUAUGUAUGAGAUAGGGAUAUGUGGUAAAGCCGAAUGGCUAAUGUGAAAUAUAUAUGAGAUAUGUAUAUGUGGUAAAGCCGAAUGGCUAAUGUGAAAUAUAUAUGAGAUAGGUAUUUGUGGUAAAGCCGAAUGGCUAAUGUGAAAUAUGUAUGAGAUAUGUAUUUGUGGUAAAGCCGAAUGGCUAAUGUGAAAUAUGUAUGAGAUAUGUAUAUGUGGUAAAGCCGAAUGGCUAAUGUGAAAUAUGUAUGAGAUAUGUAUAUGUGGUAAAGCCGAAUGGCUAAUGUGAAAUAUGUAUGAGAUAUGUAUAUGUGGUAAAGCCGAAUGGCUAAUGUGAAAUAUGUAUGAGAUAUGUAUAUGUGGUAAAGCCGAAUGGCUAAUGUGAAAUAUGUAUGAGAUAUGUAUAUGUGGUAAAGCCGAAUGGCUAGUGUGAAAUAUGUAGGAGAUGUGUGUAUAUUGUGGCUGAAUGACCAAAUGUGAAAGGUGUGUAUUAUUAGAUAUUUGAUGAGGCAAAUGAAUUACAAAUAUGACAGUCGAUGUGAAUGUUGUAACAUGUGAUUAAAUGUACAUGAAACUUGGAAAUAUAUUCCGGGUAAGACCCGAUGACUACGUGUGGAGAUUAUGUCCGGGUAAGACCCGAUGACUACGUGUGGAGAUUUUGUCCGGGUAAGACCCGAUAACUACGUAUGGGGACUAUUCGAGCUAAAGGUUUUGCUGAAGAUUCGAGUAAAGCAUAAGAUUAUAUGACUUCACAGUAACAAUUGGUAAUAAAUACAUUCAAUGCGUUAAGUUGGUCAGGUAUGUAUUUUGAGAUUAUAUUUAAGCUUGAUUUGGACUAAAUCACAAGGUCGUUAUGUGAUGCAUAUGUGAGUAAAGCAAUAAGACUGUUCUAUGAUUAUUGUGCGUUUGGUCAAUGUGGAAAGUUAGGUGAAAACAUGUACUGUACCUAUGUUUAUAAGAGAUCACUAUCAAGUGAGAAUUUAUCUGCCUAUUAUAUAUGAUGAGAUGUGCAUAUUCGGUAAAGGGAUGGUAUGCCCGAAGGAAGAGUGAAAUAAAGAUACGAACAACUAUGUUAUAAUUUGAUUGUUAUCUAUUAACACUGCUUAAAACUUACUAAGCAUUGUAAUGCUUACUCCGUUUACUUUGUUUCCUCUAUUUUAUAGAUCUCAUUUGGAAGCUACAGGCUCGGGGAUCGUCAGCAACUAGUCACACUAUCACUAUCCACUGCUUGUUACUGUUAUGUUUUGAAUUAUUCUAUGGCAUGUAAAGAAUAGACCAGUGGCCGAAGAAUAUUUUGGUUAAUGUAUAUAAGCCAUGCGAAAAUGGCAUCUUUUGAAUGUGUACUUAUAGAAGUUAAAUGGUAUCCCUGACUGUCUUUAGUAUUUACCUAAAGGAAUGUUCUUUAUAAAAUAUAUAUAUUCGAAAUUUUUACUGUUCUGAUAUGAGUUUCAAGUCUGGUAAUGCCCCUUUACCUAUUUCGGCGACGAAUACGGGGUAGGGGUGUUACGUUUUAUUGGUAUCAGAGCUACGGUUUAGUCGAUUCUUGGAUUAACGUAGCACGCGUGAGUCUAUUUAUACAUGCCAUAAUGUGAUAAAGUGAUAGUGUGAUGAUUUUUGACUAUUAAAAUGUGUUUGUUGUAUUGUAAUGAAUUUUGAUCCCGAUCGAGCUGUAGCAAGCUUCUGACUAUGAGAAUUUGCGAUAUAACUUCACUUGGAUAUGCUUAAAUUAUUAAGUUGAUUAGGUACGUAUCAUGUACUCGUAUUUGAAUUUUGAUUUGGAUUGAAUUAUAAGGGUAUAAGUGAUGCAAUUUUGAAAGUGUGUUAUGACUAUAAAUGUGAUCUUUGUAUGUGGCUAUGGAACUGAAAGUUGAAUGAUCGAUAAGCAUGUUGUGUUUGUAAUCAAGUAAUGUAAAUGAUAUACUAAUGUGUAUUGUUAUAUAUGUAUAUGUACAUGAGAAUUGAGAGUUAUAUAGCCGGGUUAAGUCCCGAAGAGCAUUCGUGCUGGUGUUAUGUCCGGGCUAAGUCCCGAAGAGCAUUCGUGCUGGUGUUAUGUCCGGGCUAAGUCCCGAAGAGCAUUCGUGCUGGUGUUAUGUCCGGGCUAAGUCCCGAAGAGCAUUCGUGCUGGUGUUAUGUCCGGGCUAAGUCUUGGAGAGCAUUCGUGUUAGAGUUAUAUUAGGGUUAAGUCCCGAAGAGCAUUCGUGCUGGUGUUAUAUCCGGGCUAGGUCCCGAAGAGCAAUCAUGCUGGUGAUGUGUAUUCGGGCCUUCGUGUCUAGUAGGCUUCGUGCCGGUAAUUUGAGCAAAGUUUAAGUGUUCAUUACUAUACGAAUUCAAUUUUAAAUGAAAGGAUAUGUUUAAAAGUGUACAUACAUGAUGUUUAUAGACUUGGUUAAGUCAUUUCAAUGUGUAACAACAAAUGAAUAGGGGCACUAUAUGUGCAAAUGAUUAGAGGCACUGAGAGUGCGAGUUCUUCAACCGAGCACUAUGUGUGCGAGAUCGGUCAGUAGACAUUAAGUGAGUAAAACAAGAUUCAUGUAAGACCUCGUAUGGAACGAAGGCAUUGAUUUAAGAUGGUGGAUAUAUUGUUAAGAAAUGAAUUCACGUUAUAAAUGUGUUACAGAUUUAGUUUAUGGAAUGCUUGGUAUAUGAAGUCAUAUGUGCUAUUGCUAAAUGACCCCUAUUUUUGUUAAUCAUGUUCAAGAAAUUAUUUCGAUUAAGUUCGACAUCUGAAAGUCUGUAAGAAUUUUUGAUGAAUGCUGAUAAUUUUGGAUAUAUGGGUUAUGUGCUAAAAUAAAUCCCAUGCCGGUAUACUAUAUGAGGCUUUAUGCCAAAUCGAUUGUAUACGGGUAUCGUUAACGGUGAUUGAAUGUGCUAAAUGAAUUCAAUGUUCAGGUAUGUGGAAGUUGAUUUUCUGUUGGAAAUAGGUUAAGUUGAAUAGUGAGAUAUGAUGGAGUUAUAAAGGAUAUUUAUUGGGGUGUUUGAGUAUAUGUGUACUUUCGGUCAGGUUACAGCUUAUACAUGAAUGAAAAUGUGGGUUACAAAUAUGUGGGUUGAUGUUGUGAAUUAUACAUGUUAAUAUGUGCUUAAUAUGUGUUUGAAAUGCAUUUGUGAAUUAAAUUGAGUGAUUAUUGCUUACAAAAUCAAGAAAAUGAGAUAUAUGUGCAUACUUGUAGAAAUGUUUAUGUAUUUGUUUUAAGAUAAGAAAAUGAUUUUAUAGAUCGAUGCGAAAUCAGUAAUGAAUUACAAUUGCUAUCGAUGAGCUAAUAUUUAUAUGGAUAUAAUUCAAUAAGAGGACGUUAUCCUAAACUAUGCAUCGGUAGAAAUUUUCGGGGACGAAAAUCCCUAAAGGGGGGGAGAGUUGUGACACCCCUAAUCUGACCCUAGUCGAAAAGUGGUUUCGGGACCACGAAACCGAGUUUUAUAAAUAAUUGAAAGUUAUAUUCUAUGUUCAUAAGGUGAGUAAACGCAUGUGUAAAAAUUUCAAGCAUUAAUUUUGCCAUUUGUAUGUGAAAUUUUGAAACGGGACUUAUGUGAAACAUUGGUAAAAUAGGUUGGUAAAAAUAUAAAGUGAUCUAAUAGAGCAUGUAUUCAAAAAUAUGGACUUGCAUGUCAAUUAGACCAUUUUUGAAUGUAAAUGGCCGGCCAACACAUGCAUGUAACAAUGUGUUCUCUUGUCUCCAUUUUUAAUUGGUGGGAAUUAUGUAUAAUAAUAAAUUUAUAUUAGUGGUGGUGAUAGAAACAAAGUCCCAUCAUCUUUUUUUUCAUCUUGCCGAAACCAUAAGGAAAGGAAAAAGAAAAAUGGAAGGAAGAACACCUAAGGCAUUCGGCCAUCUUGUGUUGGGAAUUAAGGUAUGAUUUCAUAUGUUUUUCUUUGGAUUUUGAGAAAUUUAAAUUGGUUUUAAAGCUCCUAAAAUGACCCAUGUAUGUGAUUUUGUGUUUGUGAUGCAUGAAGCAUUCGAUCAUGAGCUCAAUGGGUUACAUUGUGUAUGUUUGAUAAUUUGUGAGGAGAAAUGUUUCUAAUUGAGUAUAAACAAACUAAAUUACUAUAUGUGGCUCAAAUGAGCUUGAGUAGUCGGCUAAUGAAGUUAGUUGAGUUAUAAUACUUGCUUUAUAAUGAAAAGAACAUGAGCUUAAUGCUCAAAUAGCAUUCGGCUUUGGACUAAGUUAAAUUAGUUAGGAAAUGAGUUCCAAGAUAGUGAAUUAUGUGUUAAAAGAGGGAUUUAGGUUGUAUAUACGUGUUUAGAUUGAAAACAAGAGGCUAUGUUAGCUAAUUGAGGGAUUCGGCCAUAGUAUUAUAGUGAAUAAUAAUUUGAACAAGGGUUUUAAUUGUAUGAUAGGUUUUCGGAUAUGGUUGAUUGGAUAAUAAAUUGGUGUGGGUGUUUUGAAUGAGAUAUGUACAAUUAUAAGUUAAAUUUAAGGUUUGUUAAAUUUGUCCUUAUCAUUGCCGAAUGAGUUCAAUGGCUAAAGAAAAUUGUUAAGUUCUUAGUUAAUGUGCAUUCGGUCAUUUAGGAUGAGUAUACAUUUGAUAAUGUUUUGAUACUUUGAAAUGGAAUUUAAUUAUUAAUGAGUUAUAAGCUUGUUGAAUUUUGAGAUGUAAUUGGGAGUAAAUUUGAUAUGAGCAUAUUUUGUUAAUGACAUAUUGAUAAAUGUUGAGUUACGAUACCAUGAUAUUAAGCUUAAAGGCAUUCGAUCAUGAGAUGGAUUAAGGUGAACUAAAUGAUAUUCUGCAAUGUUACUUUUUACAUGAGGAAUUCGGUGUUAAUUGUAUUAAAUAAGGUUUUUGUUUCUUGUUAAAUUGGAUGUAUCUUGUUGUAUGAGUGCUUGAACAAACUAUGAUUAAAUAGAUGCAUAGAUUCAAGGUGGGAAAAAUUGGCUAUUAUGCUUGAUACUAAUGCCGAAUAUGAGAAUGUUGUACUUGAAAAAUAUAGGUGAACAUGACAAGUGUAUUCGGCUUAGGGCAUAAAGGAUAUGAAAAUUUGGUAUUUAUUUUUGAUUGUGUGUGUAUGAC